rnacentral:rRNA from 1 species
GAUCCUGGCUCAGAACGAACGCUGGCGGCGUGACUUAACACAUGCAAGUCGUACGAGAAAGGGGACUUCGGUCCCUGAGUACAGUGGCGAACCGGGUGCGUAACACGUAAGUAAUCUACCCCGAACACUGGGAUAACCCUCCGAAAGGAGGGCUAAUACUGGAUAGGGGUCCCUGAGGUAUAAGCUGCAGGGGGAAAACGGGCCUCUGUUUCAUGCUCGUGGUUCGGGAUGAGCUUGCGGCCCAUUAGUUAGUUGGUAGGGUAAUGGCCUACCAAGGCUACGAUGGGUAGCUGGUCUGAGAGGAUGAUCAGCCACACUGGCACUGAGACACGGGCCAGACUCCUACGGGAGGCAGCAGUGGGGAAUUUUGCGCAAUGGGCGAAAGCCUGACGCAGUAACGCCGCGUGGAGGAUGAAGGCCUUCGGGUUGUAAACUCCUGUCGGGAGGAACGACGGAGAAGGGGUGAUAAGCCCUGUUCUUCAGACGGUACCUCCAAAGGAAGCCCCGGCUAAUUCCGUGCCAGCAGCCGCGGUAA